AUGAAAAAGUUGCCACACCAAUUUACCAAGUAAAGAUAUAUUAACACACGCAGGAUCUCUAACACCCAGGCCACCAAAAUUUUUUGGAGUGAUCACGGUCCUCCAAUUAACAAGAGAAAGACCUCUACCAUCAACUUGACCCUUCCAAAGGAGCUGUCUCAUCAUAGAAGAUAAUUUAUCACAAACCCAAUUUGGAAAAAAAAGAUACCUGCAUAUGAUAGACAGGAAUAGAUGCUGCAACAAAAUUGAUCAGGCAGAGUUUCCCUGCUUUAUUUAGAAGCCUUCCUUUCCAAUUAGCUAAUCUUCCCCUCACAUUUUCAAUCACCGAAUGAAAAGAAGCCCUACUGGUACGGGAAUGAUUAAGGUUAACUCCAAGAUAUCUUCCUAAGUCCAAAGCAAAACGUAUUGAAGAAACACUAGUAAAAAUAUCUCUUCUACGAGCAGUCACAUUUUUAGA